CAAGAGACUACGUGAGACAUGUAUUUAGAAUUUGGCUCCAGGAUAAUUUUUUUCCCAAGAAAUUGAUGAGUUUUUUCUUUCUGAAUAAAAGAAUGAGGGAAGCUCAGAGCCAAAACUGAUGUUUAAUCUCAGCAACUCUACUAGUGUUCAUGAUCUGACUUUUCAAAUCUGCGGAGUCAGCUCUAUGGAAAUGAGCAAUUUUUGCCAGCCUUACACUGUGUAAUAGGUUAAACUGAGCAGAAACCCCAGGGUUUCAUUGUGGAGAGAAUGAAAGAUGCAUAGAAGAGACAACAUCCAAUUCGUUUGUUGUAUGUACCAUACGCCUACCCCUUCAGUGCCCAGUUAUUGAAUGGAUAGAUGGACAGAUGGAUGGAGGUGCCUUUGGGCAAAACUGGGAAUGUCUGACAAUUACAUUAAAUUGAGUCCUUUAAAAUAUCUUCCUUCUUUUAUCCUAUUCUUUAGUUUCAUUUAGCUUGUACUUUCAUUUAACUUGUACUUUGUAAUUACAAAGGGGCUAAUAAAAAAAUUGAAAUGCCUUGAAUUAACACUUUUAAAAUAUUCUCAAGCUGCAUUUCCUUCUUCAGUGUGUUUUAUAAUCUUUAUUCCAUCUGGUAAUUAUAACAAUACAAACCAUAGCUUGUGAGCCUAACUCACAUACAACUUAAUAGAACGUAAUAAGUUUUCCAAAGAAAAUUCAAAUCUAUUAUGAUUUGAAUCUCCACUUCUUUAAUAAGUAAAAUCCUGGUUUUCUUAGCAUAAUAGUGUCUCCUGCAUUAUUACUUUGUUCAUUUUUGAAAACUGAGAUUUGGGGGAAGGAAAUAUGAGAGUGGAUGGGGGAAGUCCCCUAAAUGCUAAUAUCACUUUUUAACAGCUAAAGACAGAUGAGGAUGGAGGAAGAAAGAGCAGCAAGAGUUACAGGAAUUUUGGCCAGAAAUCAAUGGAAAGCUCUGAGCCCCCUACUAAAACAAUGAUAUGCCAAUAGCCACAUGAGAAUUUGAUGGAUGGUUCUAGGGGUCAAAUAAAAGUGAAUUAACACGGGCAGUAAACCAUAUGGAGGAACCAGCAGGCAGGGAGAGAUGGCAAAAAAUUGACAUGGAAAACUUGAGCAGAAGCAAACCAGAAGGGGCAAAAAGGAAAACAAAGGAAGGGACAGUUGAGGCCCUUGGGAAUUGUCCACAAUGACUCCUAAAUGUUGAGCUAAAAUUGGCUCCCUGGAUGAAGCCAUCAUUAUUAGUUCAUUCUAAGACAUUAUGGAGAGGAAAUUAAGAUGUUCUAAAAUCAUUUAAAAUGUUUAUGUUUCUUUUUAUAUCCCUCUGUCCUUUAGGAUUUCUUUAAGGAACUUAGGGUAAAGUUUCAUAUAAAUAUGAAUCAGAGAAUUAAAACACAUCUUAGGGAACCACCUGGCCCAAGCCUCCUUUUACAUUAGGAAACUAAGGUCCAAGUUAACUUGGCCAAGGUUAACAUAACACAGUCUUUUCUACUUAUUUGCAGUUCUAUGCUAGACAGGUUGGGUCAGAUUCGCCUAUGGUGUCCCUCCCGUCCAGCACUCAUGGAGUCUAGCACACGAGAAGUGCUCCAGAACAUCAGCUGAGUGAGCGAGAAAUGGCAACUCACUGCUUCUAUUUGGGGUUAUUUCUCAUGGGUCUGUCUUCUGAAAGGCUGCCCUAUUCCCUCCAGCUUAUUAUUUCUAGCACGCCCAGUAACAAUGGCUAUAGAUAGGAGAAUGAAUGUCUGCAGUGUGACAACUGGGAAUUAAAGAAAAUGCGUCACGUUGGUCAGAAACAGAGAGCUCUCCAGAGCACCAAGACUCCAGGGAUCCGUGGCACUGCCUCCACACUCACAGAGGGAGCCCCCAGGGUACACAGUGCCCCUCAGGAGAGCUGCUCAUCCACAGAGCUGACCAGUGACUUAUGUAGCUUGAGGUUUGUGACUUAACUUCUUGAAGACUCCAUAUUUCCUUCUGUUAAGUGGAAGUCCAUUU
rnacentral:lncRNA from 1 species